AUCGGCAGCUCAAACUUUCUGCAGACGCCCAGUUAAGAAUCAAGGGAUGUCCAAGUCCAAACAACAUGGACACCAAGCCGGACGUGCCUCCACAGAAAACUAAAACAGAUGACCAUCCACCGUAUGUUCCAACACAGCAUGUCUCCACAGCAUCGCAUAGAGCUGGUGCGGGGAGUACUAAAGAUGAUAUGCCUAGACUACAGAACUAUGCAUCUGCGACACCAUAUAAUGCCUCUGGGCAGAUGACACAGGCAUCUUCUGCUGAUCCGCCUACAGCGUCAAGCUCAAGCACCAGACGGACAAGCAAGUAGACCCAGGCAGGACCCUAAAUACUUUUAAGGGACGUGAAUUCAUGAUCCACUUACAUAUUGAUUUCCCUGUAUGGAUUGAUUGAUCAAGAAGAAAAGUGAUCUGAACAUCAAUUGGCAUACUUUGUCUCCAAAUUAAUACAUGUAUUGAAGAUCUGAUAGUGUGUAAGUAGUUAAGCGGUGGAAACGAAAUAUGGAUUAAUGUAUUGCAUUAUAGUAGUUUGUGCUUGCUUUGGUGAAUUUGUAUUGUCCUAAGUUCAUACGUUGGUAUUGUAUUGACUUCAUAACUGGGUUGUCGUUUUCUUGGGAGAUGUUCAUUGGGUUAUAUUGCGUUCGUGUAUGUACUUCGCAACAAUAAAAUGGUAU